AUAUCGCUGCUGUCCCCUACAAGUUAUGUGACUCUCUUGCCUGUGCUCUGCCAACAUGGGCCAUUGUGACAUGUUGCUGGGUCCAAAACCUAGGUUCUGCCUGCAGAAGAGAUUGUAACAUGUUGCUGGGCACCUUGGGCCUGCCCUCAGAAGGCAUUAUGACAUAUUCCUGGGUCCAACACCAAGGUGAUGUGCGUCUCCUGGCUGGACCCUGCCCACAGUGGGCACUGUGACAUAUCUCUUGGCCCAUCAGAUUGUUCAUGUUAUCCCCUUCCCUUUUUUUCCUGGUGUUUGCCCAUGAGAGACAUUGUGAUGCAUUUCUGGACCUAGCACCUAGGUGAUAUCUUCCUGGGACCUGUCUAUAUGGGUUAUUGUGAUACAUCAUGUACGUGGCCCAGUACUUACUUGAUGUGACUCUCCUCUCAUGCCUAGACCCUGCUCACAGGUGAUGCUACUCUCUACUUAUGGCUGGGCCUUGACAAAAAGAGGGAUUGGGACAUAUCCCUGGACGCUGAACCUAAGAGGUGGAGGUUGCCGUGGUGACAGAGUGAGACUUCGCCAAAACAAAACAAAAAAAACAACAACAAAAAAGGCAGGGUUUCACCGUGUUAGUCAGGAUGGUCUCAAUCUCCUGACCUCGUGAUCUGCCCGCCUUGGCCUCCCAAAGUGCUGCAAUUACAGGCGUAAGCCAUCGCACCUGGCCAGGGGGUACUUUCUGCCCACAAAUGAGAUUGUGGCAUCUAACCCUAAGGUGAUGUUACUUCUUUGCUCUGGCUGUGCCCUUAGAAAACACUGAAACAUACUGCUGGGUCCAGCACCAAGAUUAUGUGAGUUUUCUGCCUGAACCCUGACCACAGGAAGCAUUGUAACAUAUCUCUUGACCCAUUGCAAUUUCUCCUAUGGGCAAAGCCCAGGGGGCCUUGUGACAUAUUUCUGUAUCCAUCACCCAGGAGAUGAAACUGUCUACUUCUGCAUUCUGCCCACUCGGAAGAUUGUGACAAUCAUUAGGCCCAGCAACCAGAGCCCACUGGUGAGGUCCUGAAUCACACGUGAAUGCCGUUCACAGUUGGAAUUUUCACUGUCAUAAGUGAACAUCUGGCCACAGUUGGGAUGGUGACUCAUUUCUAAACCCAGCUUGUAGGAAGGUGAGGACUCUCCUAUCUGGACUCAACCAAUUGGAGAGAUGUUGACUGUCAUAUCUGGACGUAGAACCACAGGGAAGACUCUGGAUCUCCUUCCUGUAUGAAGGUCACAGAGGAUCACCAUUCUUGCAUAUUGUAUAAAGCCUUCAGGUGACACAGAGAGUGUCAUAAGAGAACACAGCACACAGGUGGGCUAGUGACUCUCAGACCAAGAUUCAGCACACAUGUGAGGCUGUAACUGCACUGAAAGGACAAGUCUGCAGAAUAAACUGUGGCUGUCUUGCAAAAAUUCUGUCAACCAUUGAGACUGUGACUCACACACUUAGAUCCAACAUCCAAGGCUGGGCGCAGUGGCUCACGCCUGUAAUCCCAGCACUUUGAAAGGCCAACGCAGGCGGAUCACCGGAGGUCAGGAGUUCAAGACCAUCCUGGCCAACAUGGUGAAACCCCCAUCUCUACUAAAAAUACAAAAAUUAGCCGCGCGUGGUGGCAGGCACCUGUAAUCCCAGCUACUCGGGAGGCUGACACAGGAGAAUCGCUUGAACCUGGGAGGCAGAGGUUGCAGUGAGCCGAGAUCACACCAUUGCAUCCCAGCCUGGGGGACAAGAGUGAGACUUCAUCUCAAAAAAACAAAAGCAAAAACAAAAUAGAUAAAUAGAUCCAACAUCCAGGAGGUGUUGACUCUCAUACCUAGAAAAAAAAAAAAAAAA
rnacentral:lncRNA from 1 species